rnacentral:rRNA from 1 species
CAGUAGCCGCGGGAAUACGUAGGGUGCAAGCGUUAAUCGGAAUUACUGGGCGUAAAGCGUGCGCAGGCGGUUUGUUAAGACAGAUGUGAAAUCCCCGGGCUCAACCUGGGAACUGCAUUUGUGACUGGCAGGCUAGAGUGUGGCAGAGGGGGGUGGAAUUCCGCGUGUAGCAGUGAAAUGCGUAGAUAUGCGGAGGAACACCGAUGGCGAAGGCAGCCCCCUGGGCCAACACUGACGCUCAUGCACGAAAGCGUGGGGAGCAAACAGGAUUAGAUACCCCAGUAGUCCCUGUCUCUUAUAC